GAGGGGUGGGAACUGAAGAGGGGCCUCCCGCCCAUGGACUGCACUAGGAACUCCCCUGAGGGGCUCGGGCCUUCUCUAAACACAAAAUUGUACUUUUAAUUCAAUUUGCUCAUUUAAUAUGGAUGGAAAGCUGACUCUACAGAGCUCAGUAUUCUCAAUUCCUGCUGUUGACGAUGACCCAAUUAAUCCUUACGAGGUGGGAAACAGGUGGGAACCGUUUUUCCGAUUUUUCAAACUGAACAGACAAAGCUGGAAAGGAGGUAAGAGGCUCAGGGAGCUGCCACAUGGAUCCUGCGAUCGAGCUCUUUCUGUUUCUUGGCCUCUCCUUUCAGUAGCCUGCCUGUCAGGUGCUGUGUAAGAAGUUCAUACCUGCUCAAUGUCAUCAAGAUUAGGCUACAGAUUCUGAAUGACAGUCUCACAGAGGAUAAACCCCCAUGAGUAUGCCACUGGCCCCUGCUCCACCACUGCCUGUUGGAGUGUUCUUGAGCAAGUCACUGCCCUUUUCAGCCUCAGAAUCCUCAGCUCCACAAUGGAAAUACUCCCACGCGCCUUGUUCAAUGUGUGGUGUUGCUAUAGAGUCGAGUCGUAGGAAACCACUGGUAAGGAAGAUUGGUCCAGAGCUAACAUCCGUGCCCAUCUUCCUCUGUUUAAUAUGUGGGAUGCCUGCCACAGCAUGGCUUGAUGAGUGCUUGUGCAGAUCCAAAUGCUGCAGAAGGGAAGGAUGCUACCGUACUAAAGGGCUGAUUGAGUUUGUGCUGUGCAGUAAUGAGAGCUGGGAUCCUGCUACAACAGCAAUUAGCAUCGCUGACCUGUGAGGAAGAACAAGCCCAGAGAAAACAGGCUUGGAGUGAAAUCAGUGCGGGCUCAGUCAUCAACUCUAUUCGCCCAGAUCUCUGGAGAGAGGCAGUGGGGACACAUUGAAAGAUUUUAAUCAAGGAUAAAAUGAUCAGACAUUUGCAAGGCUCCCUUCCAGAAUUCACUCAAGAGACCAAAUUACGGAUCUGAAGAUUGCUUGAUG
rnacentral:lncRNA from 1 species